rnacentral:rRNA from 1 species
GACGAACGCUGGCGGCGUGCCUAACACAUGCAAGUCGAGCGGAGUCGAUCGACGGAAGCCUUCGGGCGGAAGAUGGUUGACUUAGCGGCGGAUGGGUGAGUAACGCGUGGGCAACCUGCCUCGAAGACCGGGAUAACAGCCCGAAAGGGCUGCUAAUACCGGAUGUGGUCAAGGAUCCGCAUGGAUUUUUGAUUAAAGGGGAAACCCGUUUCGAGAUGGGCCCGCGUCCUAUCAGCUAGUUGGUGAGGUAAAAGCUCACCAAGGCGACGACGGGUAGCCGGCCUGAGAGGGUGACCGGCCACACUGGAACUGAGACACGGUCCAGACUCCUACGGGGGGGCAGGCGGUGGGGAAUCGUUCCACAAUGGGCGAAAGCCUGAUGGAGCGACGCCGCGUGAGCGAAGAAGGCCUUCGGGUUGUAAAGCUCUGUCUGGAGGGACGAAGGAAGUGACGGUACCUCCGGAGGAGCCACGGCUAACUACGUGCAGCAGCCCGACGGUAAAAUCAACGUGUA